UACGAAGGGGGCUAGCGUUGCUCGGAAUCACUGGGCGUAAAGCGCACGUAGGCGGAUUGCUAAGUCAGGGGUGAAAUCCUGGAGCUCAACUCCAGAACUGCCUUUGAUACUGGCGACCUUGAGUCCGGGAGAGGUGAGUGGAACUGCGAGUGUAGAGGUGAAAUGCGUAGAUAUCGGGAGGAACACCAGUGGCGAAGGCGACUACCUGGCCUGUUCUUGACGCUGAGGCGCGAAAGCUAGGGGAGCAAACGGG
rnacentral:rRNA from 1 species